rnacentral:rRNA from 1 species
GGGUUGUGAGGUUAAGCGACUAAGCGUACACGGUGGAUGCCCUGGCAGUCAGAGGCGAUGAAGGACGUGCUAAUCUGCGAUAAGCGCCGGUAAGGUGAUAUGAACCGUUAUAACCGGCGAUUUCCGAAUGGGGAAACCCAGUGUGACUUGUCACACUAUCAUUAACUGAAUCCAUAGGUUAAUGAGGCGAACCGGGGGAACUGAAACAUCUAAGUACCCCGAGGAAAAGAAAUCAACCGAGAUUCCCCCAGUAGCGGCGAGCGAACGGGGAGGAGCCCAGAGCCUGAAUCAGCAUGUGUGUUAGUGGAAGCGUCUGGAAAGGCGCGCGAUACAGGGUGACAGCCCCGUACACAAAAGCGCAUGUGCUGUGAGCUCGAUGAGUAGGGCGGGACACGUGGUAUCCUGUCUGAAUAUGGGGGGACCAUCCUCCAAGGCUAAAUACUCCUGACUGACCGAUAGUGAACCAGUACCGUGAGGGAAAGGCGAAAAGAACCCCGGCGAGGGGAGUGAAAAAGAACCUGAAACCGU